UACACACACAGGAAGAGCACCACGUGAAGAUGAAGGGAGAAAUGGGAGUGAUGCUUGUGCAAGCCAAGAGCUGUCAAAGAUUGCCAGCAAACCACCAGAAGCCAGAGGAGAGGCAUGGAGCAGACUCUGACAGCCCUCAGAAGGAACCCACCCUGGCAGACACCUUGAUUUCAGACUUCUAGCCUCCAGAACUGUGAGACAGGAAAUUUCUGUUGUUAGAGCUGCCCAGUCUGUGAUACUUAAGCUCUACCAGAUUAAUACAACGUCACUGAAAUACUCUGUGGGGCUAUCGCUUGUCACAUUGCUCUGAAGUUUCCAUUUGCACAGAUGGAGAACAAGACAUACUUUCACUUUGCUACUACGAGGUUUGAUAUUUUCAGAAGUAGUGCAGCUCUGAAGACUCCUGGAGAUCUUGGCAAGCUUUUCCAUCAACUGCAUCAACCAACAAGCGUUGCUACGUCAAGGAAGAAAGGUAUGCAGAUACAGAGGCGGGGAACAGACAACAAGAACAACAAUGAUGACAUCAGUGACAACAAAAACAGGAUGACAUUAUCUUUCAGGCAUUGCAGACCCAUCUGAGAUGGGUUUCUGCCGGGAGCCGCCCACCAGUCAGCUAAGCCUCUGCCCAAGGGCAAGGUCCGGAAGAGAGAUGAGGGAACGCACGGCGGACCCUCAGAAGAUGGCGGUCGGCCGCUCCUGAUCCUACUUAUGCUACUAAUCUUAGCAAUAUUGCUCUUGCUGUUCUUUUUCUGUACAUGGGAUAUCUUGGGGAAAAUCUCUCCAUGCAGGGGAAAGAAGCUGGUGUAACCUGGCCUUCUAGGGGGGGUUCAGGGGAACAACAGCCUGAAGGGAAAAAACCUUCGGACCCCCUCCUGGAAAGGCGGUAAGGGAGCUUGGACAGCCCUCAAGGAGGAAGCCUUCUAAUAAUCAGCCUCUAAGGAGAGCAUUCCCUCCUCAGGUCCUUCUAGGAGGUAGAUGUUAUCCUAGGCCUGGUAGGACAGAAGGUAAAUGGUGGCACCCACCCAGGGGCAGAGGCAUACAAAAACUACCCCUUCCUAAGGCAACUCACGAUCCUGAUAAAGUUGCAGAAAAAUAUCAUAGUAUAGUAACACAGGGAAAUUGGGAUUAUGGUGAGGUCUGGGAACCCUACAAUACAGUUAAUGGUAAAAGAGAAACCCCAAGCACUGUGCCCGUGUGGCUUGCGAUCAGACGGAGCUGGGGGCCUGUAUGUAUUUUGGUCCCCUUACACUUUGCAAUACUUCUGCUUUCAUUAUUAUCGGAAUAAAGAUAGAGGCUUAGGGCCAUUCGACUCAUGGGGAACUAAGUCUAGACAUUACACCCCGUUUUGUAAUCAGUCUUAAACAUCUAGACGCCUAGUAGAUAUACAGAAAAGGUCAAUAUCUGUAAUUAACAAAGGUUGCUUGCUUCUCACAUACUGUGCUAAUGUUGUAACAAGAUAUGCUUAUGUACCCAUUUUGUUUGCCAAAAUUAUGUACUGAGACAAUUCCAUGAAAUCAUAAGCGCGUGACCUGGACCCUAUAUAAGUGCUUGAAUGCUUUGAAUAAAUCAGACUUGGAAACCUCACUUCCAGUCUCACCGUAACUUCUUUUUUCUCCGAGGCCGUUCAUCCCUCAGGAACC
rnacentral:lncRNA from 1 species